rnacentral:lncRNA from 1 species
GUAUAUGUGACAUUUUAAUUUUAACGAUUGCUUUAUGUUUUUAAAUUUUCAGCAUGCUGGAACAGGAUUCUAGAAGAAUGAACCCUAAUGUGAGCCCUGCAAAUCAAAGGAGGCACCUUUUAGAAUUUUCUGCUAAAGAAGUACGGGACACAUCAGAUGGUAUCAUCCAGAAAAACAGCUACAGAUAUGAUCAUUCUGUUUCAAAUGACAAAGCUCUAAUGGUGCUAACUGAAGAGCCACUACUUUAUAUUCCUCCUCCUCCUUGUCAACCCCUGAUUAACACAACAGAAUCUCUCAGAUUAAAUCAUGAACUUCGAGGUUGGGUUCAUAGACAUGAAGUGGAAAGGACCAAGUCAAGAAGAAUGACAAAUAAUCAACAGAAAACUCGUGUUCUUCAGGGUGCUCUAGAACAGGGCUCAAAUUCUCAGCUGAUGGCUGUCCAAUACACAGAAACCACUAGUAUCAGGUAAGAAAUUAUCAAGAAGCUUUUGGCCAGGGAAUUUAAAAUAGCUUGUG